CAGUCGCCGCGGGAAUACAGAGGGUGCAAGCGUUAAUCGGAUUUACUGGGCGUAAAGCGUCUGUAGGUGGCUUUUCAAGUCCGCCGUCAAACCCCAGGGCUCAACCCUGGACAGGCGGUGGAGACUACCAAGCUGGAGUACGGUAGGGGCAGAGGGAAUUUCCGGUGGAGCGGUGAAAUGCAUUGAGAUCGGAAAGAACACCAACGGCGAAAGCACUCUGCUGGGCCGACACUGACACUGAGAGACGAAAGCUAGGGGAGCAAAUGGGAUUAGAUACCCGCGUAGUCCCUGUCUCUUAUAC
rnacentral:rRNA from 1 species